rnacentral:rRNA from 1 species
UACAGAGGGGGCAAGCGUUAUUCGGAAUUAUUGGGCGUAAAGGGCGCGUAGGCGGCCUGGCAAGUGGAAGGUGAAAUCCCUCGGCUUAACCGAGGAACUGCCUCCCAAACUGCUUGGCUUGAGACCGGGAGAGGUGAGUGGAAUUCCCAGUGUAGCGGUGAAAUGCGUAGAUAUCUAGAGGAACGCCAGAGGCGAAAGCGGGGCACUGGGCCGAAUCUGACGCUGAUACGCGAAAGCGUGGGGAGCAAACAGG